GUGUCAGCCGCCGCGGUAAUACGUAGGGGGCAAGCGUUGUCCGGAAUAACUGGGCGUAAAGGGCGCGUAGGCGGCUUUUUAAGUCUGGAGUGAAAGUCCCGCUUUUAAGGUGGGAAUUGCUUUGGAAACUGGAGAGCUUGAGUGCAGAAGAGGUAAGUGGAAUUCCCAGUGUAGCGGUGAAAUGCGUAGAGAUUGGGAGGAACACCAGUGGCGAAGGCGACUUACUGGGCUGUAACUGACGCUGAGGCGCGAAAGCGUGGGUAGCAAACAGGAUUAGAAACCCGCGUAGUCC
rnacentral:rRNA from 1 species